AGAAGCAUUAUUAUUCCCUCUUCAGCAUUCGCCAAUAUUCUACAAUGCAACGCUGAUUGCCCUAAUCCAACUGAACCCUACUUUCAAACGAUCGGGAGAAGGAAAAAGCGAAACCCAUGAUGGACGGCUGAAAGAAACUGAAAUUGAUCCACUUCUUCAAAACGGUCAUGAAUCCGUGCGUGUUCCCGUAACUUUGAAAUUGAAACUAGACGAGACGCUGCUUGUGGUGACGUUUUCUGAAGUGUGCGCAUUCAAAGGCAGCCAGGAUAAAGCGAAGAACGAUCGAUGAUGACAACGGUGCGCUGCGAUAGUUGCUUGAGGUUGUGCUGUCGUCCCAGCUUCUUACAACCCCUCUGCUGGAACCUGUCUUUCAACGGUGCUAGCUGAAAGGUCUUAUGGAAGAGAGAAAUUCUGGCACAGUGAUAUACGGCGAACGUUUUAAUGUUUUUCAAGAUUUUCCCACUUUCCACAACGGACGCUCCUUGUUGCUGCACGAUCAGCAACAUCAACCUAACGGGUAAAGCGUGGUGAAGCCUCCUCUUUUUCGUUCUCGCGCGUCUUAAGGCUUAAAACGUUUGGUGCAGUGUGCUUUUUGAAUUUUCAUUGCUUAUACAGACCCACGAAGCAGCGUCUCAGAUGCGCUCUCUGUAUAGUCCAAGCCCAGCUUGUAGAUAAAGCGGAUAGUGCGAAGAGGAAACGAAGACACACCGUUAAUUCGUGACUGGUGGCAAUAUUGGCUGCAUUUAAAAACAAUGAUUCACAUUAUGCUGGCAGUGUGUUAGGUGUGUGUGUGUGUAUUUGUGUGAGAUCAAGAAGAUCGAGUUGAACCGAGUGGUUUGCGGUUAAGAAUGAAAACAGUGUAAGUCAUUUUGUGACAAGAGUGUGUACAGUUUAAAGUUCUUACUACGGCGCCACCACGACCCCUGCUACGAUCGGGAAUCAUUCGUCAUCACGGUGUCAUCACGAUUCUCCAUCAUUGUCGCUGUCGUCACACGUUGGGCUGAGGACGUAUCACGCCGGAUGCUUCAGGAGAAAAAGUCCCUUGAGAGAGAAGGACCUAUAAACCCAGUUCCCCGGUACACUUGUUGUAGCAGGAAAGGAAGUAAAAACACUUCAAACUUGUGGCGGCGGCAGACUCCUGAAGAUAUGGCCACAUGGCCGACACGAUGACGGAUGUUUACAAGCGUCCUCCUACACAUGAUCUUGUGAUCGUAGCAGCAGCAGCAGCAACAGCAGGUUGGUAGUUGGAUGGUUCCCUUUUGCUCUACUUCAUCAGCGUCAGCAGUGAAUCUUCUUCGUGCUCUGCUCGCAGCGUCCUUGCCAACGCCAUUUGUUCCGUUCCUGAGCUCUCCGUGACCCAAGAUGCCCAGAUCGUCCCGCAUUGAUCACGCAUCCCAGGUUCCAGGUAGGAUCGUCGCUUUUUUUCUAUGUAUGGUGCCUCCCGUAGCUGCCAACGUUUCCGAUUCUACGUGCAUUCGAAUACUGAUGAAGAUUAGAAAGAAGGAAAGAAAGAAAGAAAGAUGGCCGCUGUAAGAUCCCGGUGUUGUCGUUUGCAGCUGCGUGCAGCUCGGCUCCCCGGUGGCACUUAGGCGAGGUGAGAAUGGUUUGGUUUUGUCCAUUUCAUACCAACGCUCUUGUACGAGCGUCCGUUCGCAAUCUGCCACAUAAUCCCACCGACAGACACAGACAGACGGUCCACUUCCUGCCAUUCGGACGAGUCUUCGAGAGUCGGCCAACACAUUUAGCGAGCGUGUCGCGUGGAGUGCUUUGCUUCCGGUUUGUCGUUAUGGUAAGAACCGCAUUUGCAUGUUGCAUUGUUACAUUGUGAAACAAUAUUAUUAUAAUAAUUUUGUCUGCCUAUAAUAUCGUGCCCUUGUGUGACAUUAAAAGUAUCCCUUCCCAUCGGUGCUGCUUAUCCUCUUCUCCUUCCCAAGUCUAGGGAUUUUCCGUCCAAUUCCCACACCAUCACUCAACCCAAUAAAGACCAAUUAGGGAACGUGAGACGGAAAGGAUACAUUGGUACCGCUCGUGAGCGACGAGAAUCACGUCAAUCCCAACUCUGUCGCUGGUAUUUCUCCUGGGAACAAGCUUCAUCCCUUCGCUCGUUUCGUCCAUCUGAACGCUUCGCUUAAUGAGCCGCCCGGAACGAUGGAUAAUGAACACGGAUUGGUGCAUUUCUAGCGGGUCCUUAACAGGGAACUAAACGACUAUUUUGGGAACGAUCUUUAAAUCGUUUCCUUUCUUUUUUCGUACGAUGAAGGUUCCGGUUUGUAUGAAGGUUUUGUACUUUUCUGUCCAUCGGAUUUGUGUUCCUUUUGAGAUCUUAAUUUGCUGAGCUAUCUGUAGAUAAUCGAACCAAAUUGAAGGAUUAAUAUGGUACAAUCAAUCUCCGGCAGAACUUUGUGUAAGGUGUAAUGAAGACCCUCCAGAUAUAAUAAUGUUAUUAGGGGUUAUUAGCGUCAAACGCUCCGAUAUAAAUGGAGAAGAAAAAUCUCCCCGGGUCGGCUUAUUUACAGACUGUGGACACUUAGAACCGAUCGUCUACCAGACUAUCAGAGUUAGUACAAGUAGAUUAUCCAAAGAGUUCAGGUCCGAACGAAUUUGCAACUGUGGCGUGGCAGAGACUUCUUAUCUACACCAACACGAAGUUCCGCGCCAAUAUCAUGAAAUAUGUAUUCAACGCCCUCCAGCACUCUCACCACAAGAUUCUCACCGCGGAAGCCGACUAAUUGCGAUAAACUUAUUACCGCAACAAAAAAAAACUCCAAAUCUCACUUCAUUUCGCGAACCUAAUCUUCAAAUGAUCCAUUUAUUUGAUUCCAUACCCGAAACCCUGAUCGCACACGAACCAAAGCGGGAAGAAGCCGCGAAUUGGUGGACUGUUGGGUUUUUGCUUCCACCGUGUUUUUUUCCCAUCCAGCCAUCCGUAGCAUGAAAACUCCCGAAACUGUAGGUCUCUCGCCACCCAGCCCCAUCCGAACGGUGGGUCGUUAGGUGUUUCGCAAGGUAUGCAACGAUCCGCAACGCGGCAUUACGGUGGUUGUGCAUUUUAAUCGGGGUUUUCUAAAUGUUAAAAAAAUAUAGAUUUACGUAUCCGAGAUUGUUGUCCGGGCGGGGGGCAGGUAUGGAUCGUCGGGUGUGUCCAUUCGCCGUUGCUGCUGCUGUAACACGCUUGAAUGCAAACACGCCGGAAAAGUUCCCAUCAGGAACCAGCACUCUCUCUCUCUCUCUCUCCUUCUGACCGCAAGAGCAGGAAUCGGUCAUCCAUUUUAUGUGUCGCAUUUUGUUAUUGUCCUCCCUGCUCCCGAACCCGGAAUCCGCAUAACGCUGGGUGUGGGUGAUGACAUUUUCCACAUUUUCUUCACUUUUCUCUUUCUCUUUUCCGACUCCGUUAAGCAGACAACAAACAAGCAGGCACACCUCCAUGUCUCGAUGGAUGGCCACUGCCGGAAAUGCUGGCAAUCGGUCACGAUUCACCGUGUGUGUGUACGUUUAUUGGAGCCAUUUUCACGUCAACAGUAGCUGUCCAAACAAAUCGUGCGUCCAUUUACCUGUCGGGCCGAAAUUGAGUGUCCAUAGUGCGUGAAGUACGGCACAAUAAGCUUUGGAGCUUGUGUGUACGUGUGUCGGCAUCUCACUGCAACACACAUAAUAAAGCGCUCCGAGGGUGGUGAUCUAUCAUCAUGAUCCAGUUCCCGAAGAGAACGUCGGAAUUGAAACCACCGGGAAAAGGGAAUGUAAAGCCCCCAAAAAGAAAGAAACCGGUAGUAACCAUCGGUCCCUUUCUCCCUCCCAGGGUGUGAUUUAUGGGCUUGGUUUCCAUCCCCCCAAAUGCUGCUGAAGCCCGAUUUGUUCGACGACAUUCGUACGGUAGCGUACACAAUGGGGGACUACUAACCUUCAAAACUGGGCGUGCGUCGUGUGUGUGUGUGUGUUUGGUUGCAUGUCCGAUCGAAUCAUGAUCUUCCCGAGACUGUCACGAUCGCCUAGAUGUUCGAUAUGUGGACUCUUUGUCAGUGAGCUACGCAUCGGAAGCAUUUGUUUUGGGCGCACGAGCGGUUGUGCUUUUGUUUCGAAGAUAUCUCAGUUGAGUUUAGGUUCUAGGUCUCGGUGUGAU